CUGCUCCUAGUACGAGAGGACCGGAGUGGACGCAUCACUGGUGUUCGGGUUGUCAUGCCAAUGGCACUGCCCGGUAGCUAAAUGCGGAAGAGAUAAGUGCUGAAAGCAUCUAAGCACGAAACUUGCCCCGAGAUGAGUUCUCCCUGAGACUUAGAGUCUCCUGAAGGAACGUUGAAGACGACGACGUUGAUAGGCCGGGUGUGUAAGCGCAGCGAUGCGUUGAGCUAACCGGUACUAAUGAACCGUGAGGCUUAACCUU
rnacentral:rRNA from 2 species